UAUCUCACACGUGAAGUGAGGCUCUUCUAUCACACCUCUGCCAAGUCACAGGCUGUCAGUUUAUAGCCUCACACUCUGGACAAAAGGCACUCCUCUGCUUCUCCCCACCAAUUCGCAGUUCCCAUGCACCUGCCACAUUCCUGACCAUGGAAGCCCAUGCCUCAUGUCUGGCAGCAUCAUUGGUGGUGUAUGGGAACUGCUGAGUCAGGGCCUGAACCCACUGAUUGAUGGAGCACAGGUGAAGGCAAUUCAGCUGUGUGACUGGAAGGGGUGGAGCCUGGCUGCACCUCUCCUAGACCCCAUUUAAGGGCUGAUUGCCAUGGGGGAAAGGUUUCUUUCUGGAGCUCCCUCCUCUGUAGAGUCUUUCUUGCAAGCCUAGAUCUUCAGAUACAGGCUGGAUGGGAUCUCCAGUCUCUGCCUGGGAGUCAUUGCUUUGAAACCAGUGGCAUGGCAUUGGUUGCACUGGAAGAGAUCCUCAAUGAAAGGCAAGCCCUGAGGAAGAGGGAAGGACUGGGUCUGGCAUCCUCUGAGCUGCUGCACUCAGACAUCAGGAGGAGUCCAGCAGACAGCCCCGAGCUCCCUGCAGCCUCCAGGCAGUGUAAGAGAAACUACAGAGGCAGAUGUUCCUUUGGAGAAGCAGAAGACUUUGGUUUGGAUUAGAAGAAGGGCUGAAGUUCAGCAUGAAAGUCCAUUCCAGUUGCUCCAUUAGAACUUUUUUCAAGACAGGACAACAAGCAAUUUAAAAGAACAACAGAAAAUAAUAACAAAACAAAUCUAAACAAUUAAAAAAAUAAAAAAAUAAAAAAGCAAAAUGAGUAAGUUCUUCUUCCUUCUUCAUACUUUAGAAUCUGCAAUAGGACUCCACAAUGCCCGGACUCCCCGGCAUGGAAUAAUUUCUCCCUGUAGGGCAAGGGCCCAGACCUGGCCUCGGUCUGCAGGGCAGGCCCAGCUCUCUAUCAAUGCCCAAUGGCAGCAGUGAGCUCAGUCUCCAGACAGAACUUCAGGAGGAGGCAAACAGAGAGGGCAUCAGGAUUCACAGGAGAGGAUGGCCUGGGGCAGGUGCAGAAUCCAGCGCUUGCUCUUGUUCAACACAGUACUUUGGGAUUGUAGAGAGAUCCACUCUCAUAGGGAGCAAGCUACAAGAAGCAGUACAGAAAUACUUUUUGCAGUAGAUUUUAACCUCAGAGGACAAACAGGUCAUAUUAAUUGGAUUUCUGCAUAGAAUAUCUCUAGUCUUAAAUUUCACUGGCAGCAUAUGAUUUGCUCAACUGUUGAACUACAAUGUCUAGAUUUAUGUACAAGCACAUCCAUUUGAUGCACUGUUUGUAGACACCGCUGAAACACCUCCAAACCUGCAA